rnacentral:rRNA from 1 species
UACGUAGGGCGCAAGCGUUGUCCGGAAUUAUUGGGCGUAAGAGCUCGUAGGCGGCCUGUCGCGUCUGCUGUGAAAUCCCGGGGCUUAACCCCGGGCGUGCAGUGGAUACGGGCUGGCUGGAGGCAGGCAGGGGAGAACGGAAUUCCCGGUGUAGCGGUGAAAUGCGCAGAUAUCGGGAGGAACACCGGUGGCGAAGGCGGUUCUCUGGGCCUGUUCUGACGCUGAGGAGCGAAAGCGUGGGAGCGAACAGGAU